AAAGCGUGCGCAGGCGGUUUUGUAAGUCUGUCGUGAAAUCCCCGGGCUCAACCUGGGAAUGGCGAUGGAGACUGCAAGGCUAGAAUCUGGCAGAGGGGGGUAGAAUUCCACGUGUAGCAGUGAAAUGCGUAGAGAUGUGGAGGAACACCGAUGGCGAAGGCAGCCCCCUGGGUCAAGAUUGACGCUCAUGCACGAAAGCGUGGGGAGCAAACAGGAUUAGAUACCCCUGU
rnacentral:rRNA from 1 species